rnacentral:misc_RNA from 1 species
GUAGGUGAACCUGCGGAAGGAUCAUUCAUAAUAAGUGUUUUAUGGCACUUUUUAAAUCCAUAUCCACCUUGUGUGCAAUGUCAGUUGUUCUCUUUUUUGAGAAUGACCAAACAUCAACUUAUUCUUUAACUCUUUGUCUGAAAAAUAUUAUGAAUAAAAUAAUUCAAAAUACAACUUUCAACAACGGAUCUCUUGGCUCUCGCAUCGAUGAAGAACGCAGCAUCUGACUGACUGGAAGCUUGUCUAUCUC